UACGGAGGGUGCAAACGUUGCUCGGAAUCAUUGGGCGUAAAGCGCACGUAGGUGGCUUGUUAAGUCGGGUGUGAAAUCCCUGGGCUCAACCCAGGAAGUGCACUCGAAACUGGCGAGCUUGAGUACUGAAGAGGGUCGCGGAAUUCCCGGUGUAGAGGUGAAAUUCGUAGAUAUCGGGGAGGAACACCAGUGGCGAAGGCGGCGACCUGG
rnacentral:rRNA from 1 species